rnacentral:lncRNA from 10 species
UAAAUCUGCAGGAUUCCAUCCCUGCCACCCCAGCCAUGGGCCCUGAGUGAUGGCCUCUGACACACCCUGGGUGGGUCAGGUAUUCUCAUGCCUUUCCUGGAGCUUCAGAGUCUACUGCUUCUUGCCUCUGGGUCCUGGCACUGGAAUGAUACAGACCUCAGGGUCCCAGGGGUGAUUUGUCUUCCUGGCCAUAUGGAAGACGUUUUGCACUGGAAGAGAGCGAGAUGAACACGCAGAAAGAAGUAGAGCUGAAGAGAGACUACAGAAAAGGGAAAGCAGGAAAGGAAAAUAGCAGGAGAUAAGGAUGGAGGCAGAGACAUGCCCCAGGAUGCUGUCUGAGUCCCUGGAUGCCAAACCCACUUCUGAUCAUCCCAGGGCUAUGUUACCUAGGGUGCUGAAGGAGCCCACUGGCCCAAGAGGACACCCUUUUCAGGUUCCCUGGGUGGCUGAUCUUGGAACCGUGCUCUUCUCCAGGGUGGUGUGACCAGCAGCCAACCUCUCUGCAGCCUACAGGGGCUCGUUAUCCCGUCUGUAGGUUACUCAGAUCUUCCAGGUUUUGGAGUCCUCUGGCUCUUCGUCUUCCUCAGCUCACUGCUGCUCAUUAGUGCCUCCUAGAGGAUGAGCAGGGGAAUCACAGAACCCAGCUCAGAAGUCGCUGCCUCUGGCAUGGGCAUCAGGGGCUCCGCUACGCCUGAGACUAGCUCCUGGCUGGACCGUGAAGGACUCAGAGGUGAUUUCCGAUUUCCGCUGUCUUUCCCCUUCAGGGAGCUUUUUGGUUAUUUACACACCAAGACAUUAAAAGAUAAAUGGAGCAAGAAUAAAAUCACAAGAAAGAUAUCACUGGUAUUACUUUACAGAAAAUCAAUUUACUAUUAAAUAUAUGUGAAUUUAAUUAACUAUAGAAUAUAAUUAAAUAUAUGCUGAUUUAAAUAGCUAUGCAAUUAAAUUAUAUUAGCAGAGAUCUUUUUAAAAAAUCAUAGCCUUAGCAAGUUCUCUUUAAAACGAAUUGCAUAUUCACCUGAUGCUGGUGAGCAUGGAAUCAGGAUGAAUGAUGAGGCAUACGGACGACAAUUCGCAAAUAUACAUCAAAAGUGUAUAUAAAAAAGUGUUCCUAGUUUUUGACUCAGUAAUUCCACUCAAGGAACAUCUUAGACCCAAAGGUGCUUCACAGCAUCAGUGAUAACAGGGAAUAUUAUACAUGGUCCAGCUGGUCUAGCUGGAAAAUGGUUAAUUGCAUUUUGGUAGAUCGACUCAAUGAAAUACUAUGUAACUAUGAAAAUUAUGUUAACAAUAAGUAUUUAAUUGUAUACAAUGCUAAUUGUAUCAAAAGGUUGGGAUGUAAAACUAAUAAUUGUAACUAAAAAAAUACAUCUAUUCUUGGAAAUAGAUUUAGAAAACAUACUAAAAUAUUAAUAGUAAUUUUAGAUACUGGGUCUAUUGAUGCUAUUUUAAAAAGGCUUUUUUUCCUAUUUUUUACUAUAUUCUGUAUUAUUUUUAUAAUGGGAAAAUAAAUAAAUGAUAAAGUUCAACCAAAUGCCUAAAAUGAACCUAGCACCUGUACUGGGAAUUGGUGAU